AUUUUUCUAAGCUAAUUAUAAUGAGUCCCAUGUAUGUUUUGCCAUAAUCAAUUAUUACAGCGUAUUUUUGUUAUAGAUACAUUUAAUAAAAUAAUUAAAUAAAGGCACUGUUUGGUUGAAGGGAUUGGUGGUUCAGAACCUUUCGAACAUAAAUGAUUCAAGUGGGGUUACCAAUUGCUCAUUAAAAAAAAAAAUACUCAAGUGGGAG
rnacentral:misc_RNA from 1 species